GAUGAACGCUGGCGGCGUGCCUAAUACAUGCAAGUCGAGCGAACGGACGAGAAGCUUGCUUUUCUGAUGUUAGCGGCGGACGGGUGAGUAACACGUGGAUAACCUACCUAUAAGACUGGGAUAACUUCGGGAAACCGGAGCUAAUACCGGAUAAUAUUUUGAACCGCAUGGUUCAAAAGUGAAAGACGGUCUUGCUGACACUUAUAGAUGGAUCCGCGCUGCAUUAGCUAGUUGGUAAGGUAACGGCUUACCAAGGAAACGAUGCAUAGCCGACCUGAGAGGGUGUUCGCCCACACUGGAACGAAGCCACGGCCCAGACUCCUACGGGAGGCAGCAGUAGGGAAUCUUCCGCAAUGGGCGAAAGCCUGACGGAGCAACGCCGCGUGAUUGAGGAAGGUCUUCGGAUCGUAAAACUCGUUUAUUAGGGAAGAACAUAUGUGUAAGUGACUGUGCACACCUUGACGGUACCUAAUCAGAAAGCCACGGCUAACUACGUG
rnacentral:rRNA from 1 species